rnacentral:rRNA from 1 species
AGAGUUUGAUCCUGGCUCAGGACGAACGCUGGCGGCGUGCUUAACACAUGCAAGUCGAACGGAAAGGCCCUUCGGGGUACUCGAGUGGCGAACGGGUGAGUAACACGUGGGUGAUCUGCCCUGCACUCUGGGAUAAGCCUGGGAAACUGGGUCUAAUACCGGAUAGGACCACACACUUCAUGGUGAGUGGUGCAAAGCUUUUGCGGUGUGGGAUGAGCCCGCGGCCUAUCAGCUUGUUGGUGGGGUAAUGGCCCACCAAGGCGACGACGGGUAGCUGGCCUGAGAGGGUGACCGGCCACACUGGGACUGAGAUACGGCCCAGACUCCUACGGGAGGCAGCAGUGGGGAAUAUUGCACAAUGGGCGCAAGCCUGAUGCAGCGACGCCGCGUGAGGGAUGACGGCCUUCGGGUUGUAAACCUCUUUCAGUAGGGACGAAGCGAAAGUGACGGUACCUACAGAAGAAGGACCGGCCAACUACGUGCCAGCAGCCGCGGUAAUACGUAGGGUCCGAGCGUUGUCCGGAAUUACUGGGCGUAAAGAGCUCGUAGGUGGUUUGUCGCGUUGUUCGUGAAAACUCACAGCUUAACUGUGGGCGUGCGGGCGAUACGGGCAGACUAGAGUACUGCAGGGGAGACUGGAAUUCCUGGUGUAGCGGUGGAAUGCGCAGAUAUCAGGAGGAACACCGGUGGCGAAGGCGGGUCUCUGGGCAGUAACUGACGCUGAGGAGCGAAAGCGUGGGUAGCGAACAGGAUUAGAUACCCUGGUAGUCCAA